AAGACUAUAGACCUGCGGAGUACCUGCGGAAGGAUCAUUAUUGAAUAAACAUGAUGGGUUGUAGCUGGCUUCUGGAGGAGCAUGUGCACAUCCAUUGUCUUUAUACAUCCACCUGUGCACCCUCUGUAGUCUUGGGGAAUGGAGUAGUGGUUCACACUCGAUUGGCUUGUCCAUUGGAUUAUGAGGAAUGCCAUAUGUGGCUUUCCUUGAUGGCCAUGAUUCUUCUUUUCCCAAGUCUAU
rnacentral:misc_RNA from 1 species